UUUACCAAAAACAUAGCCCCAGAUCUUAUCUGAGGUGAUGCCUGCCCAAUGGUUAUUAAAAUUUUAUAGUUAAAAAAUAAAACAAGAACUUAAUGGCCGCAGUAUUCCUGACUGUGUUAAGGUAGCACAAUCAAUCGCCGCUUAAUUGGCGGAUAGUAUGAAUGGUAAUACGAAGAUUUCACUGUCUCAAAUGUAGGCCUAUAAAAAUUGAAAUAAUAGUCAAGAUGCUAUUUAAAAUCGUAAGACGACAAGACCCUAUAAAGCUUAACUACAACCCUUAAACUAUUAUGAAUUAAGGGUUUGGUAGUUUACUUGGGGCAAGGGCUUUUUAAAUCUAAAAAAAGUAAGCAAAAUAAAUAAAAUAUUUAUUGUAUAAAAAAUAAUUUUAACAAUCACAAUGUGGGCUAUAAUGACCCGUUUAUACUUAAAAAAACAGAUAAACAAUUAUUAAAUAAAAGCUACUUUAGGGAUAACAGGAUAAUUUCAUCAAAGAGUUCCUAUCGCCGAUGAAGUUUGUCACCUCGAUGUUGAAUUAAGAUAUCCUAGCGGAGCAGAAGCUGCUAAAGGUAGGUCUGUUCGACCUUUAAACAUCUUACAUGAUUUGAGUUCAUUCCGUA
rnacentral:rRNA from 1 species